rnacentral:rRNA from 1 species
GAAGGCCUUCGGGUCGUAAAGCUCUUUCUGUCAGGGAAGAAACGGGAUGUCCUAAUACGAUGUCCUAAUGACGGUACCUGAAGAAUAAGCACCGGCUAACUACGUGCCAGCAGCCGCGGUAAUACGUAGGGUGCAAGCGUUAAUCGGAAUUACUGGGCGUAAAGCGUGCGCAGGCGGUUAUGUAAGACAGGUGUGAAAUCCCCGGGCUUAACCUGGGAAUGGCAUUUGUGACUGCAUAGCUGGAGUGUGUCAGAGGGGGGUAGAAUUCCACGUGUAGCAGUGAAAUGCGUAGAGAUGUGGAGGAAUACCGAUGGCGAAGGCAGCCCCCUGGGAUAACACUGACGCUCAUGCACGAAAGCGUGGGGAGCAAACAGGAUUAGAUACCCUGGUAGUCCACGCCCUAAACGAUGUCUACUAGUUGUCGGGUCUUAAUUGACUUGGUAACGCAGCUAACGCGUGAAGUAGACCGCCUGGGGAGUACGGUCGCAAGAUUAAAACUCAAAGGAAUUGACGGGGACCCGCACAAGCGGUGGAUGAUGUGGAUUAAUUCGAUGCAACGCGAAAAACCUUACCUACCCUUGACAUGUACAGAAUCCCGAAGAGAU